UUGACCUCAAAUCAGGUAGGACUACCCGCUGAACUUAAGCAUAUCAAUAAGCGGAGGAAAAGAAACUAACAAGGAUUCCCUCAGUAACUGCGAGUGAAGUGGGAAAAGCUCAAAUUUGAAAUCUGGCAGGUUCUAUACACUGUCCGAAUUGUAAUCUAAAGAAGUGUUAUCUGUGCUGGACCAUGUAAAAGUCUUCUGGAAUGGAGCAUCAUAGAGGGUGAGAAUCCCGUCUUUGACAUGGACUACCAGUAUGUUUAUGGUACACUCUCAAAGAGUCGAGUUGUUUGGGAAUGCAGCUCAAAAUGGGUGGUAAAUGCCAUCUAAAGCUAAAUAUUGGCGAGAGACCGAUAGCGAACAAGUACCGUGAGGGAAAGAUGAAAAGAACUUUGGAAAGAGAGUUAAACAGUACGUGAAAUUGCUGAAAGGGAAACGCUUGAAGUCAGUCAUGUCAGCUGGAAAUCAGGCUUGCUUCUGCAAGGUGCACUUUCUAGUUGAUAGGUCAGCAUYAAUUUUGACCGUUGGAUAAAGGCAUUGGGAAUGUGGCAUCUUUGGAUGUGUUAUAGCCCAUUGUUGGAUACAGCGGUUGGGAUUGAGGAACUCAGCAUGCCCCCUUGGGGUUCAGGUUUCGGCCAUG
rnacentral:rRNA from 1 species